ensembl:lncRNA
UGGAGCACUUGCUACAGGUGGGUGUUGCUAUGGUGACCAGUGAGCUGAGAUAAGGCGGGGCUUUACCUAGCAAAGACUUAUAGAUGACCUGGAUCAAGUGGGUUUGGUGACGAAUAUGUAGCGAGGGCCAGCCAACGAGAGCAUACAGGUCGCAGUGGUGGGUAGUAUAUGGGGCUUUGGUGACAAAACGGAUGGCACUGUGAUAGACUACAUCCAGUUUGCUGAGUAGAGUGUUGGGGGCUAUUUUGUAAAUGACAUUGCCAAAGUCAAGGAUCAGUAGGAUAGUCAGUUUUACGAGGAUAUGUUUGGCAGCAUGAGUGAAGGAGGCUUUGUUGCGAAAUAGGAAGCCAAUUCUAGAUUUAAUUUUGGAUUGGCGAUGCUUAAUAUGAGUCUGGAAGGAGAGUUUACAGUCUAACCAGACACCUAGGUAUUCAUAGUUGUCCACAUAUUCUAAGUCAGAACUGUCCAGAGUAGUGAUGCUAGUCGGGCGGGCGGGCGAAGAGCAUGCAUUUCGUUUUACUUGCAUGUAAGAGCAGUUGGAGGCCACGGAAGGAGUGUUGUAUGGCAUUGAAGCACGUUUGGGAGUUUGACAGUGUCCAAAGAAGGGCCAGAUGUAUACAGAAUGGUGUCGUCUACGUAGAGGUGGAUCAAAUUAUCAUCCGCAGCAAGAGCGACAUCAUUGAUAUAUAGAGAAAAGAGUCGGCCCGGGAAUUGAACCCUGUGGCACCCCCAUAGAGACUGCCAGAGAUCCGGACAACAGUCCCUCCGAUUUGACACACUGAACUCUGAGAAGUGGUGGGUGAACCAGGCAAGGCAGUCAUUUGAAAAGCAAAUGCUCUUGAGUCUGCCGAUAAGAAUGCGAUGAUUGACAGAGUCGAAAGUCUCGGCCAGAUCGAUGAAGAUGGCUGCACAGUACUGUAUUUUAUCGAUGGCGGUUAUGAUAUCGUUUAGGACCUUGAGCGUGGCUGAGAUGGACCCGUGACCAGCUCAGAAACCGGAUUGCAUAGUGGAGAAGGUACGGUGGGAUUCGAAAUGGUUGGUGAUCUGUUAGUACACUUAGCUUUCAAAGACUUUAGAAAGGCAGGGCAGGAUGGAUAUAGGUCUGUAACAGUUUGGGUCUAGAGUGUCUCUCCCUUUGAAGAAGGGGAUGACCGCGGCCACUUUCCAAUCUUUAGGAAUCUCAGAUGAUACGAAAUAAAGGUUGAACAGACUAAUAACAGGGGUUGCAACGAUGGAGGCGGAUCAUUUUAGGAAGAGAGAGUCCAGGUUGUCUAGCCCAGCUGAUUUGUAGGGAUCCAGAUUUCGCAGCUCUAUCAGAACAUCAGCUGUCUGGAUUUGGGUGAAGGAGAAGCAGGGGCGGGGGGGCUUGGGCCAGUUGCUGCAGGGAGUGCAGAGCUGUUGGCCGGGGUAGCCAGGCGGAAGCAUGGCCAGCCAUAGAGAAAUGCUUAUUGAAAUUCUCAAUUAUCUUGGAUUUAUCAGUGGUGACAGUGUUUCCUAACCUCAGUGCAGUGGGCAGCUAGGAGCAGGUGCUCUUAUUUUUCAUGGAGUUUACAGUGUCCCAAAAGUUUUUGGAAUUAGUGCUGCAGGAUGCAAAUCUCUGUUUGAAAAAGCUAGCCUUUUUGAAAUGGGCAUGAUUAUUUAAGAUGGUGAGGAAAGCACUUUUAAAGAACAACCUGUCAUCCUCUACUGAUGGGAUGAGGUCAAUAUCCUUCCAGGAUACCCAGAUCAGGUUGAUUAGAAAGGCCUGCUCGUAGAAGUGUUUUAGGGAGCGUUUGACAGUGAUGAGAGGUGGCCGUUUGACCCAGAACGGACGCAGGCAAUGAGGCACUGAUCGCUGAGAUCCUGGUUGAAAACAGCAGAGGUGUAUUUAGAGGGCAAGUUGGUCAGGAUGAUAUCUAUGAGGGUGCCAAUGUUUACGGAUUUUGGGUUGUACCUGGUAGGUUCCUUGAUCAUUUGUGUGAGAUUGAGGGCAUCUAACUUAGAUUGUAGGACGGACGGGGUGUUAAGCAUAUCCCAGUUUAGGUCACCUAACAGUACGAACUCUGACGAUAAAUGGGGGCAAUCAAUUCACAUAUGGUGUCCAGGGCACAGCUGGGAGCUGAGGAGGGGUCUAUAACAAGCAGCAACAGUGAGGGACUCAUUUCUGGCAAGAUGGAUUUUUAAAAGUAGAAUGUCGAACUGUUUGGGCACAGACCUGGAUAGUAGGACAGAACUCUGCAGGCUCUCUCUACAGUAGAUAGAACUGCUGAAGGGGGUGGAGUUGCUAUGUUGACAGAAAAUGUAAUUGGGGAAGGAAAUUUCAGAAUUUAAAAUCACAGAAGAGCAAUUGAAGUCUGAAAAAUAAAAAAUAAAUUUCAAUUUUCAUGUGCAACUCCCCUUUAAUUGCGCAUUCAGAAAGUGGGGAAUGUGUCAGUGUAGAUGUUUGUUAGGCCUACGGCUGCAGCACGUUAUGGCAGCGUUUGCAAAAGGAUGGCCACCCAAUUGAUAAAAAUAAUCAUAUCUUUUUGUCAGGCAAGCCUGCUUUGCAGUUACCAUUUAAUUGAGUUUUUGCACAAAGUCUGUCUACCCACAAGAUGGUUAUCAUUACUAGCACGGCUAACUGGCAGCAUACUGAGUGAUAGACAAAUGCACGUACCAAGCAGACAGACUGAGGCAAAUGGAUAUAUUGCCAGAAAUAAAUUGGCAGAUUUAGUGUUAAUUUGGGCUUUUUAAGCCAAUAGUGGCUAACCAGGGGUAGGAUAAUGUCAAUGUGGUUUUGGUUGAAUAGUAGCCAGGAGCUUGUUUAUGAAAGUUUGCAAUGGGAACACAUGAAAAACAUGCAUGUACUUUCAGAAUUGCUUGGUGAGCUACUCAUACAUGUUGGCUGCGAUCUACCCGUUGGGAGAGCUGUGUACCGUGUCCUAGACUUAAUACUGCAGCAUACCCAGCCUCCUUUUUCCCCUACGAACUACCACAGUGAACACAGCUCUCAGUUACUGGCUCAGCAGCAUUCAGAACGACUCAAAACUUAGCCAUCGUGUGAGCCCUCCCUGGUGGACAAUCGUAGAACUUGAGAAGUAAAGCAAUGCAAGGAGAGUGAGGCCUGCAGUGAGAGUGAGGCCUGCAGUGAGAGUGAGGCCUGCAGUGAGGGGGUGUAGUUGGAGCAGCUGUCAUGGAAGGGGAGAGAGUAUGACCCGAUGACCGCAUGAGGAGGUUAUGUCUGCCAUGAUCAGGCAAUGGUAGAAGGUUUUCACGUAUUUUUAAAACGUUUCGGUUCUCGCCGAUGCGCCCAGCAGCGUUCCGAGACGCUUUCUCAAAGUCAGCUUUGCUUUCCGCAUUCUCUUCGGAGCCUUAGCAGUCUUGGAUUCCUUAUCCUUCUCUGACCUUUUAGUCUUCUGCGCCUCGGAAGUAACUUAUUUUUGGGUGUCCUUUACCUACACCACGGUACAUGAAGGCAUCUGGCAAGAGACAAAAAAAGGAUUAAAC